rnacentral:rRNA from 1 species
GACGAACGCUGGCGGCGCGCUUAACACAUGCAAGUCGAACGGAAAGGCCUGCUUUCCCUUGUGGAUUGCGGGUACUCGAGUGGCGAACGGGUGAGUAACACGUGAGUGAUCUGCCCCCAACUUGGGUAUAAGCCUGGGAAACUGGGUCUAAUUCCCGAUAGGACUGCAGGGUGGUGCCUGUGGUGGAACACGAUUUUCUAGUGGUUGGGGAUGAGCUCGCGGCCUAUCAGCUUGUUGGUGGGGUAAUGGCCUACCAAGGCGGCGACGGGUAGCCGGCCUGAGAGGGUGGACGGCCACAUUGGGACUGAGAUACGGCCCAGACUCCUACGGGAGGAAGCAGUGGGGAAUAUUGCACAAUGGGCGGAAGCCUGAUGCAGCGAGGCCGCGUGGGGGAUGACGGGCUUCGGGUUGUAAACUCCUUUCGACCGCGAGGAAGCCACCUGGUUGGAAGGGUGGUGACGGUAGUGGUAGAAGAAGCACCGGCUAACUACGUG